GAUGAAGAACGCAGCGAAAUGCGAUAAGUAAUGUGAAUUGCAGAAUUCAGUGAAUCAUCGAAUCUUUGAACGCACCUUGCGCUCCUUGGUAUUCCGGGGAGCAUGCCUGUUUGAGUGUCAUGAAAUUCUCAACCUUUUCAGCUUUCUUUGUUGAUCAGGCUUGGAUGUGGGAGUAUGCGGGCUUCUCAGAAGUCGGCUCUCCUGAAAUGCAUUAGCGGGACCUUUGUUGCCUGGCUUUGGUGUGAUAAUUAUCUACGCCAUUGUAGUCAAGCAGCUUAAAAUGAGGUUUCAGCUUCUAACCGUCUCCCCUGAGACAACUUUUUGACAAUUUGACCUCAAAUCAGGUAGGACUACCCGCUGAACUUAAGCAUAUCAAUAAGCGGAGGA
rnacentral:misc_RNA from 1 species